CACCACUUUAAAAACAAACCCUAGCCGCCAUACGCUCUAAAUCCUGUGAUAUCAUAUUCAUUAUUUCGUUCUUUUAUCCUCAUUCCGCAUUGAUCCGAGUUUUCCUUCGACGAUUCAUCUAUCUCAUUCGUUAUUUAUCAUCGUUUCGCUUCGGAAUCGAAUACGACCCGUCGACUGCUCGUGCUUCGUAGUCUACCCAGGGUUAGCUGUUUGCCGAAAUUUCACGUGGAUAAAUAAGCAGUGAGUUUGUAGUGCUAUUUACCGCUUUAUUAAGUACCGCAAUUUAUUUUAGUAUUAUAAAUGCUUUUGAACUGUUUUAAGCGAUUAUGGAUCUGGAUUGAAUCGAACUACUCGAUAGGCUGGUAUCGAGACUGUGUGCACCGGUAAGUACACUGAGAUCGACAGACUAAUGUCUUGCUUACGCUGGUAUAUGACAAGGAAAUGUUCCCGUCCACACUGGGUUUAUCAGUAUGCUAUGUCAUACAUACGCUAGGAUCAUUUCAAUACUGUUUUCCAUAAUUAUACUAUAUUAGUAUAAAUGUUUUGAUUUAAGGGUUUUAAACUUAAUAAAUGUAAAUAGUAUUGCGAACUCAUCUCAGUAUAUCUAACCCCGUUGUUUUCCCAAAUUUUCCAAGUUUAUGAUUUGAAAGCUGGUCCACUCCGAUUCUUUUGAUUCCUCGGAGGUUUUAUGUUAUUUAAACUAGUCUCUGUUUUCGAACUCUUAGACCGCAGUAGAACUAGAUUAUAUAUUACAUUUGUUAUUGCACUUUGGGAUUGUCGAUUUGCUCGAUUAUUUAUUAUUGGCAUGUUUACU